rnacentral:tRNA from 1 species
GUCCUCGCGGAGCAGCCUGGAGUGCUCGCCACCCUGUCACGGUGGAGAUCGUGGGUUCAAAUCCCAUCGGGGACG